rnacentral:rRNA from 1 species
AAAUUGAAGAGUUUGAUCAUGGCUCAGAUUGAACGCUGGCGGCAGGCCUAACACAUGCAAGUCGAACGGUAGCACAGAGAGCUUGCUCUCGGGUGACGAGUGGCGGACGGGUGAGUAAUGUCUGGGAAACUGCCUGAUGGAGGGGGAUAACUACUGGAAACGGUAGCUAAUACCGCAUAAUGUCGCAAGACCAAAGAGGGGGACCUUCGGGCCUCUUGCCAUCAGAUGUGCCCAGAUGGGAUUAGCUAGUAGGUGGGGUAACGGCUCACCUAGGCGACGAUCCCUAGCUGGUCUGAGAGGAUGACCAGCCACACUGGAACUGAGACACGGUCCAGACUCCUACGGGAGGCAGCAGUGGGGAAUAUUGCACAAUGGGCGCAAGCCUGAUGCAGCCAUGCCGCGUGUAUGAAGAAGGCCUUCGGGUUGUAAAGUACUUUCAGCGGGGAGGAAGGUGUUGUGGUUAAUAACCACAGCAAUUGACGUUACCCGCAGAAGAAGCACCGGCUAACUCCGUGCCAGCAGCCGCGGUAAUACGGAGGGUGCAAGCGUUAAUCGGAAUUACUGGGCGUAAAGCGCACGCAGGCGGUCUGUCAAGUCGGAUGUGAAAUCCCCGGGCUCAACCUGGGAACUGCAUUCGAAACUGGCAGGCUAGAGUCUUGUAGAGGGGGGUAGAAUUCCAGGUGUAGCGGUGAAAUGCGUAGAGAUCUGGAGGAAUACCGGUGGCGAAGGCGGCCCCCUGGACAAAGACUGACGCUCAGGUGCGAAAGCGUGGGGAGCAAACAGGAUUAGAUACCCUGGUAGUCCACGCCGUAAACGAUGUCGAUUUGGAGGUUGUGCCCUUGAGGCGUGGCUUCCGGAGCUAACGCGUUAAAUCGACCGCCUGGGGAGUACGGCCGCAAGGUUAAAACUCAAAUGAAUUGACGGGGGCCCGCACAAGCGGUGGAGCAUGUGGUUUAAUUCGAUGCAACGCGAAGAACCUUACCUGGUCUUGACAUCCACAGAACUUUCCAGAGAUGGAUUGGUGCCUUCGGGAACUGUGAGACAGGUGCUGCAUGGCUGUCGUCAGCUCGUGUUGUGAAAUGUUGGGUUAAGUCCCGCAACGAGCGCAACCCUUAUCCUUUGUUGCCAGCGGUUAGGCCGGGAACUCAAAGGAGACUGCCAGUGAUAAACUGGAGGAAGGUGGGGAUGACGUCAAGUCAUCAUGGCCCUUACGACCAGGGCUACACACGUGCUACAAUGGCGCAUACAAAGAGAAGCGACCUCGCGAGAGCAAGCGGACCUCAUAAAGUGCGUCGUAGUCCGGAUUGGAGUCUGCAACUCGACUCCAUGAAGUCGGAAUCGCUAGUAAUCGUAGAUCAGAAUGCUACGGUGAAUACGUUCCCGGGCCUUGUACACACCGCCCGUCACACCAUGGGAGUGGGUUGCAAAAGAAGUAGGUAGCUUAACCUUCGGGAGGGCGCUUACCACUUUGUGAUUCAUGACUGGGGUGAAGUCGUAACAAGGUAACCGUAGGGGAACCUGCGGUUGGAUCACCUCCUUACCUUAAAGAA